AUGGGGUGCAGCAGGGGCGAAACCUUUACAAUGUGCGAAAGCAUGAUAAGGGAACUCCGAGUGCCAGCAUCUAAUGUUGGCUGUCCUUGUGCCUAAAACGCACAAGAUAGCAAGGGCCGGGUAAGACCGGUGCCAGCCGCCGCGGUAACACCGGCGGCCCGAGUGGUAGCCGCUAUUAUUGGGUCUAAAGGGUCCGUAGCCGGUUCGAUAAGUCCUCUGGGAAAUCUGGUUGCUUAACAAUCAGACUGCCAAGGGAUACUGUCGAACUUGAGACCGGGAGAGGUAAGAGGUACUUCAGGGGUAGGAGUGAAAUCUUGUAAUCCCUGGGGGACCAUCUGUGGCGAAGGCGUCUUACCAGAACGGGUCUGACGGUGAGGGACGAAAGCUGGGGGCGCAAACCGGAUUAGAUACCCGGGUAGUCCCAGCCGUAAACGAUGCUCGCUAUGUGUCAGGUACGGUGUGACCGUAUCUGGUGCCGUAGGGAAGCCGUGAAGCGAGCCACCUGGGAAGUACGGCCGCAAGGCUGAAACUUAAAGGAAUUGGCGGGGGAGCACUACAACGGGUGGAGCCUGCGGUUUAAUUGGAUUCAACGCCGGAAAUCUUACCGGGGGAGACAGCAGCAUGAAGGUCAGGCUGAAGACCUUACCAGAUCCGCUGAGAGGAAGUGCAUGGCCGUCGUCAGUUCGUACUGUGAAGCAUCCUGUUAAGUCAGGCAACGAGCGAGACCCGUGCCCACAGUUGCCAGCAUGCCCUUCGGGGCGAUGGGUACUUUGUGGGGGACCGCCGCUGCUAAAGCGAGAAGGAGCGGGUUACGGUAGGUCAGUAUGCUCGAAACUCCCGGGCUACACGCGGGCUACAUUGAGGGACAAUGGGAAUCAACAUCGAAAGUGAAGCAUCUCUAAACUCAUCGAAGUUCGGAUGAUGCUGCAUCGCUCAUGAAGCUGGAAUUCGUAGUAUCGCGAUUCACACAGGCGGUGAAUACGGUCCGUUCCUGCAACUCGCCGUCAAACACUC
rnacentral:rRNA from 1 species